UACGGAGGAUGCAGGCGUUAUCCGGAAUUAUUGGGCGUAAAGCGUACGUAGGCUGUUUCAUAAGUCUGUUGUCAAAGCCCGAGGCUCAACCUUGGAUCGGCAAUGGAAACUGUGAGACUAGAGAGAGAUAGGGGCAGGAGGAAUUCCAGUGUAGCGGUGAAAUGCGUAGAUAUUGGAGAGAACACCGGUGGCGAAGGCGCUCUACUGGGCCUGCACUGACACUGAGGGACGAAAGCUAGGGGAGCGAAAGGG
rnacentral:rRNA from 1 species